GAUGAAGAACGCAGCAAAAUGCGAUAAGUAAUGUGAAUUGCAGAAUUCAGUGAAUCAUCGAAUCUUUGAACGCACAUUGCGCCCGCCAGUAUUCUGGCGGGCAUGCCUGUUCGAGCGUCAUUUCAACCAUCAAGCCCCAGGCUUGUGUUGGGGACCUGCGGCUGCCGCAGGCCCUGAAAACCAGUGGCGGGCUCGCUAGUCACACCGAGCGUAGUAGCAUACACAUCGCUCAGGGCGUGCUGCGGGUUCCGGCCGUUAAACCCCUUUUUUACCCAAGGUUGACCUCGGAUCAGGUAGGAAGACCCGCUGAACUUAAGCAUAUCAAUAAGCAGAGGA
rnacentral:misc_RNA from 1 species